GGGAGGUUGGUAUGGACAGGUGUAUCGCCAACUCGGUCAGGUCCGGAAGGAAGCAGCCGUAACGAUUAUAACCUGGGUCGUCGCCAGCCUUCCGCC
rnacentral:SRP_RNA from 1 species